rnacentral:rRNA from 1 species
UGGGGAAUCUUCUGCAAUGGACGAAAGCCUGACGGAGCAACGCCGCGUGGGUGACGAAGGUUUUCGGAUCGUAAAACCCUGUCAAGAAGGAAGAAAAAAGACGGUACUUCUGAAGGAAGCCCCGGCUAACUACGUGCCAGCAGCCGCGGUAAUACGUAGGGGGCAAGCGUUGUCCGGAAUUACUGGGCGUAAAGAGCACGUAGGCGGUAACCUAAGUCAGAUGUGAAAGACCAGGGCUUAACCUGGGAACUGCUUUUGAAACGGUCAUGCUUGAAUCAUGGAGAGGGUAGCGGAAUUCCGAGUGUAGAGGUGAAAUUCGUAGAUAUUCGGAAGAACACCGGUGGCGAAGGCGGCUACCUGGCCAUGUAUUGACGCUCAGGUGCGGAAGCGUGGGGAGCAAACA